rnacentral:sRNA from 1 species
GCCUAGCCCUGAUCGAAAUGGCAUCCUUUUGUGGUGGGGUUAACCGCAAAAGAUAUAAUGGAGAGCAGGACAAAAC